GCCGAAGUUAGGCAAAACAUUUCAACGGUCUCUUAUGGAGGAAAGCUAGAAUUUUAAGAAAAUUUAUGAUUUCCCCGGUAACGAAAGUUUUGGAACUCUAUGAAAAGCUGACGAGUUACGUAGAGAACAUUGUAGUAGCACAUAACAUCCAUCUUAGUGAAAUUAUCCCGUAUUUUUCAUCGUUUUUCACCUAGUGCCAAGUGUUGUUUCCAAGUAUUUUGACUAUGACUCCUGUUUUCCCAGCCUUUCCCAAUGGCAAUCAUCUUGCGAAUCAUUUGUAUGAUCAUAGUAAUCUUCUUUGCUUUCAAAGUAAUACUUUAGCUGCAGUGAAGAAGUAUUCUGUCUUCUUUGUUUUGGCCUGAGAUCUGGCUGAAGUAAGGUUAGGUUGUCCACCGGUGGAGCUGUGAUCGGAGAAAUGACCGAUCACUCCGAUCACUGAUCGGUGGUACCAAAUCCACCGGUCGUACUUCCACCGGUCGUGACGUCAGCACCGACGGAUCAAUUAACGAACACAGUUUGGUGAUCGGCGGUACCACCGAUCAAAAAAAGAAAACCCCUAUUGUCUUGACUCUCAGUAUAAAGGGACUCCAGGUUAGCUCUUAAUUUGAAGAGAAGUGUGUCCUUCUCCUCAGUCUCUCCUCUCCAAUAAAGUGCCCACUUUGCAGAUACUCAAAUAACCACUCUAAGGAACUUGAAGGGCAUGUCAACAGACAGCAUUUUGAUGUCACCAGCCUUGAAAUGUCUAUUGAAAGAGGAUCAAGCGAUUUUAACUGCCCACUAUGCUCUCAAAGUUACUCUAGUGCCUCUGACCUAGAGCUCCAUGUAAAUGUUGAACAUGAAGAUAUUCUUAGUCCUGCGAAGCCCAAUCGAAUCGAUUUGUCAACUGGACCACGCUCAGAAAGGAACCUUCAAUGCCCUGUCUGUCCUCAAGAUGUGUCAUUUAGUGAUGCUGAAACAUUGCAAAUACACAUUGAUACACAUUUUAGUAGCAAAGAUGUUUCUCCAUGGUCACCUAACAUCAACAUGGAUCGUUUACUAGCUCAAGAACUGGAGAAAGCAGAUAAAGAAACACAACGGUUGCAGGAAGAGCAAGAGUUUGAGCUGUUAAAGGUUCAAUACGGGAUGGAUGAUGAAUGUAACUUCAAAGAGCAGUCGAUUAAAAACAUGAAGAAGGAAGUUGAAGCGGGAACACUGUCUUUGGCUGAUUUUGCAAAUCGUCAGCAUGGACUGAGGCUUGCUGAGAGCAAUGGACUUGACGAUGGAUCAUCUUGCACACAAAAUCUAGCUCUUGUGGUUGCAGCUGCUAGCCGUAACUGUUCCAAUGUUGCUGGUGCAUUUAUGUGUUCCUAUGUUGAUCAUUAUGCUUCGACCUACGGUGAUAGGGGUUGGGGCUGCGGUUAUCGAAAUACUCAAAUGAUUUUAUCGUCUCUUCUUCAACACACUGGUUACAACGAUAGAAUCAAUCAAUUGUGGCAUGUUGCCAGAAACCUUGCUUGUAAAGAGCAUUCUGUACCGCGAUCUGGAAUGCCUUCCGUAUCUCAUUUGCAGAAACAUGUAGAAUGGGCUUGGAGAGAAGGUUUUGAUUUGCAAGGUGCAGAACAAUUAGGAGCCCGUGUAUUCAACACACGGAAGUGGAUUGGAGCCACUGAAGUCACUACCAUUCUGUCAUCGCUCAAAAUAAGGUGCCAGUUGGUUGAUUUUCAUAGACCAACAAGUCCAAAUGGGUGCCAUCCGGAAUUGUUUAAUUGGGUUUUGCAAUAUUUCCAGUCCAAAGAUGAUUUUAAGCCUCCUCUGUAUCUUCAGCACCAAGGUCACAGUCGGACUAUCAUUGGAGUUGAACAACUGAAAGACGAAUUUGUUAAUUUGUUAGUCUUAGACCCCAGUCACCCAAAGUCGCAAAUGGAAAAGCUAAAAUCUACCAGUCCUGCGAUUUCUUCCCUCAGACUACUAAGAAAAACUCUGUAUGACAUGAAAGCCAAGCAGUAUCAAAUAGUCGUUGUGUGCGGUUUGGUCAAUAGUGAAGCAGAAUAUCAGAGAAGCAAGGUUCUUCGCUCAAUUCAAGUUCCUCAAAAAUGAUAAGCUCUACAUUGCUGUGAAACUUUCUAUGCCUUCGCUAAAACAUACAUAGUUGUUAGAAAUCUCAAUUUUACUCCAGUUUUUAUUACUGGGAACCACCUGUUAUCCUAUCACUAAAUACCUUAAAUAUUUUCAUUUACUCUUGUUUAUCGAAGAAAAACGAAAUGUGACGAAUACAGCAGAAUAGCACGCACUAAUCAGCAAAUUACCAACGACUGGUUCAACAUGUGAUAAUCUGGCUGUGCACCUACACUCAGGAGAGUUCCUGCAAAGAUAAUCCCAAGCCCCAACCUCUCAUCAACCGUUGAUGGUGAGAUAAUCAACAAGGUCGGAUACUUUCCGGACAGACCUCAUAAUCAGACCAAAUGCAAUUGUGACCUGUAAACCUAAAAUCGCUUGUAGUUGUCGUUGACAAUUAUAAUUUUUUUUACUCUUGUUA